AGUGAACGCUGGCGGUAGGCCUAACACAUGCAAGUCGAACGGCAGCACAGUAAGAGCUUGCUCUUACGGGUGGCGAGUGGCGGACGGGUGAGGAAUACAUCGGAAUCUACUUUUUCGUGGGGGAUAACGUAGGGAAACUUACGCUAAUACCGCAUACGACCUACGGGUGAAAGCAGGGGAUCUUCGGACCUUGCGCGAUUGAAUGAGCCGAUGUCGGAUUAGCUAGUUGGCGGGGUAAAGGCCCACCAAGGCGACGAUCCGUAGCUGGUCUGAGAGGAUGAUCAGCCACACUGGAACUGAGACACGGUCCAGACUCCUACGGGAGGCAGCAGUGGGGAAUAUUGGACAAUGGGCGCAAGCCUGAUCCAGCCAUACCGCGUGGGUGAAGUAGGCCUUCGGGUUGUAAAGCCCCUUUGUUGGGAAAGAAAAGCAGCAGGUUAAUACCCCGCUGUUCUGACGGUACCCAAAGAAUAAGCACCGGCUAACUUCGUG
rnacentral:rRNA from 1 species